AGUCGGGUCCGUCCUGCGGUAAAUGCACAACCCGGACGGAAGUGUCUCUCCGACACCAGAUCCGGGCUCGGAGCUCCAGACGCUGGGACAGGCCGCCCGCAGACCACCCCCGCCGCGCGCGGGACACGACGCCCCCCGCAGGACCCGCCCAUCAGCCCGGAAACCCCCGAGCUGCUUCUUCCGGAGGCUGAUGCCCACCCGGGAGCCCCCAAAGACUCGCGGCUCCCGGGGGCACCUGCAGACUCACCCGCCUGGGCCUGGACCCCCGGUGAGCCUGACCGGGAGGGGGUCCCCAGGCCGGGCCUCUAGGCAAAAGAUUUAGUCCCCCCAGUUUGAGGGACUCCGGUUUCCCGGCACCCCGAUUUAACUCCAAACCAUAAUUCCUGUGGCAGCUGCAGGGACUGGCGCCCCGAGGCCUCAAAACCAGCGCCCCCCGCCCUCCGUGCCAGCCCCAGCCGGGACCCCACAAGGCAAAGACCAAGAAGAUUGUGUUUGAGGAUGAGUUGCUCUCCCAGGCCCUCCUGGGCGCCAAGAAGCCUAUUGGAGCCAUCCCUAAGGGGCAUAAGCCUAGGCCCCACCCAGUGCCCGACUAUGAGCUAAGGAGGCCCAAGUUGCAGCCCGGGUUUGGAGGGAGUUUGAGACGAAGCGAAGGGUGAGUCUUGCAUCCCACAGCUUGGUCUUGCACCCCUGAGACUUCUGUGAGGCUAGGGUUCCUGUGCCCAGUUUCUUUUUUUUUUUCCGAAAGAGACAGAAUCUCGCUCUGUCACCCAGGCUGGAGUGCAGUGGUAUGAUCUCAGCUCACUGCAACCUCAGCCUCCCGGGUUCAAGCAGUUCUCCUGCCUCAGCUGGGAUCACAGGCACCCACCACCAUGCCUGGCAAAUUUUUGUAUUUGUAGUAGAGACGGGGUUGCACCAUGUUGGCCAGGCUGGUCUCGAACUCCUUACCUCAAGUGAUCUGCCCACCUCAGCCUCCCAGACUGCUGGGAUUACAGGCAUGAGCCACCUCGCCCGGCUCACCCGGUUGCCUGUGCCCAGUUUCAAGGAGAGAAAAUUGAGGCUCGGAAAAUGAAAGGCAGAGAGUUGAGUAGCUUGAAGGCCGCAGGGCAGACUGCUGCAAAGACUUCCGGGUCUCGCCCUGCCUAGGAUCCUGGCUUCCUGGAUAAGCAGGCUCGCUGCCACUACCUGAAGGGUAAACUGAGGCAUCUCAAGACUCAGAUCCAGAAAUUCGAUGACUGAGGAGACAGCGAGGGCUCCGUGUACUUCUAAGUGCCCCUGCAGAUGGGCAGAGGGAUGCAUGCGGAUGCAGGUCCCUUGCAUUUCUUGGUAUCUCUCAGCCUUUCCUCUUGCAGCUCCCCCUACCAGGGGUCGCUUUCUCCUGGAUUGCAAAUGCCUCUUCAGUUUGGACUCAGCUCUGACAGCCCCUCCUCCAGGAAGGCCUUCCAGGACUUCCUCCUCUGGGUCCUCUAGCUCUGACCCUAUAGGGACUCCAGAUCUCAACCUGUUCCCUGGAAGUAGGGCCUGCUCUCCAUCCCAGUGAAAUAAACAUGUAUUAGA
rnacentral:sRNA from 1 species